GCCUGGGUGGCUCAGUCGGUUGAGCACCCGACUUCAGCUCAGGUCAUGAUCUCACAGUUUGUGGGUUCGAGCCCCAUGUCGGGCU
rnacentral:tRNA from 1 species